rnacentral:rRNA from 1 species
UACAGAGGGUGCGAGCGUUGUCCGGAAUCACUGGGCGUAAAGGGCGCGUAGGCGGCUUGGUAAGGUUGCGGUGAAAGCCCGGGGCUUAACCCCGGGUCGGCCGUGGCAACUGCUGAGCUGGAGCACUGUAGAGGCAGGUGGAAUUCCGGGUGUAGCGGUGGAAUGCGUAGAGAUCCGGAAGAACACCGGUGGCGAAGGCGGCCUGCUGGGCAGUGGCUGACGCUGAUGCGCGACAGCGUGGGGAGCAAACAGG